rnacentral:ribozyme from 13 species
AAGAAAAGAAGGAUGGGAAAGGGAGGGAAAAUACAAAGACGACUCUGUUCUUUAUUCUUCUCCCUCUUCUCCAUUUUCUUCUCAUCUCCCUUCUUCUUCUC